CCGCUCCACCUCUCAAGCAGCCAGCGCCUGCCUGAAUCUGUUCUGCCCCCUCCCCACCCAUUUCACCACCACCAUGACACCGGGCACCCAGUCUCCUUUCUUCCUGCUGCUGCUCCUCACAGUGCUUACAGUUCUGGUCAUGCAAGCUCUACCCCAGGUGGAGAAAAGGAGACUUCGGCUACCCAGAGAAGUUCAGUGCCCA
rnacentral:lncRNA from 1 species